rnacentral:rRNA from 1 species
UACGUAGGGUGCAAGCGUUGUCCGGAAUUAUUGGGCGUAAAGAGCUCGUAGGCGGUUUGUCGCGUCUGCCGUGAAAGUCCGGGGCUCAACUCCGGAUCUGCGGUGGGUACGGGCAGACUAGAGUGAUGUAGGGGAGACUGGAAUUCCUGGUGUAGCGGUGAAAUGCGCAGAUAUCAGGAGGAACACCGAUGGCGAAGGCAGGUCUCUGGGCAACAACUGACGCUGAGGAGCGAAAGCGUGGGGAGCGAACAGG